rnacentral:tRNA from 1 species
GUUCCUGUAGUUGAGGUAUCAACGGCGGCUUUUCAGGCCGCAGACCUUGGAGAUUGACCAAGUAGGAAUU